CUCUGUGUAGGCCACAGUGAAGCCUGAACUCCAGUAGGGCCCAAGCAAGCCAGGAAGGAGGAGGCAGCCAGAGUGGCCACCACUGUUCUCUGCAGCAGAAGACCCCCUGCUGCCAGGUAUGAGGAAAUUGCCAGCUCAAAAUUUCUCAGCUGAAGAAGAAGAAAAUGUAAUAUCUCUUUGGCUGAAGAGGAAGUAUCUUGGAACCACCUAAGCCAGCACUCUUGUAUCCCAUUGAAUCUGAAAGCUGGUUUAAGAGUAUCUGGUAGCCAGUGGUGCCAAAAGGCUAAAAGAACAAACUGAGUUGUAAAGAGUUGUACUUGUCGUCUCACACACCAUCCAGAAGGGCUGCCAAAUCAGCCUCAAUCUUAAAACUAUGCCUACAGCCUGGCUGAAAUGGGAAGUAAGGGAGAAACUAUAGUUCCUAUUGGAGAAACCAGCAACAUGAAGAAUUAAGGAAGCAAUAUGAUGUUUUUACGGGGUGUGUGUGUGUGUGUGUGUGUGUGUGAAGUCUGUUGAAAAUUUCAUGUUUAAAAUAGAUGAUUAACAAACACACAUGUGCUGCUGCUGCUGCUGCUGCUGCUGCUGCUGCUGCUUUAAGAUGCUCCUGUAACAAACUAAUAACUAAUAACAAACUCAAAACUAAAGCACAGUUAUGUUUGCUGGAUAAAAUUUCAUCAUUUCCUCUACCAACCCAAUUUGCAUCCACUACUAAAAAUGGGCUUCUCCAUAGCAUGAAAAAUACAGGAGGAUUCUGUUGUGAAUAUGUAAAUUUCUUUUAAAAGACAAUGCUAAUGCCUAUCAGCAACAAUAAACAUAAUAACAAAGUC